rnacentral:rRNA from 1 species
UACGGCGAGUGAAGCGGCAACAGCUCAAAUUUGAAAUCUCGGCCCUCGCGGUCCGAAUUGUAAUUUGCAGAGGAUGCUUUGGGCGCGGCGCCUUCCGAGUUUCCUGGAACGGAACGCCAUAGAGGGUGAGAGCCCCGUCCGGUUGGAUGCCUAGCCUAUGUAAAGCUCCUUCGACGAGUCGAGUAGUUUGGGAAUGCUGCUCUAAAUGGGAGGUACAUGUCUUCUAAAGCUAAAUAUUGGCCAGAGACCGAUAGCGCACAAGUAGAGUGAUCGAAAGAUGAAAAGCACUUUGAAAAGAGGGUUAAAUAGUACGUGAAAUUGUUGAAAGGGAAGCAUUUAUGACCAGACUUGGGCCCGGUUAAUCAUCUAGCGUUCUCGCUGGUGCACUUUGCCGGCCCAGGCCAGCAUCAGUUCGUCGCGGGGGAUAAAGGCUUCGGGAACGUGGCUCCCUCGGGAGUGUUAUAGCCCGUUGCGUAAUACCCUGCCUCGGACUGAGGUUCGCGCAUCUGCAAGGAUGCUGGCGUAAUGGUCAUCAAUGACCCGUCUUGAAACACGGACCAAGGAGUCGUCUUCGUAUGCGAGUGUUCGGGUGUCAAACCCCUACGCGUAAUGAAAGUGAACGCAGGUGAGAGCUUCGGCGCAUCAUCGACCGAUCCUGAUGUUCUCGGAUGGAUUUGAGUAAGAGCAUACGGGGCCGGACCCGAAAGAAGGUGAACUAUGCCUGUAUAGGGUGAAGCCAGAGGAAACUCUGGUGGAGGCUCGCAGCGGUUCUGACGUGCAAAUCGAUCGUCAAAUAUGGGCAUGGGG